CCAACAGUAUUACAAGCAUCCAGUAAACUUCAUGCUGGGUUGCAGAUAACUGGUUAUACCGACCUGGGAUGUUUACAGAACACCGAAAAAAAACAUGAGGUAUUCCAAGUCUUGUAGAAGCUGAGUGGAAUCCUGGAUUAGCUGGUCUUGUACCCCCACCUUCAAAAUGGCAUUGCUGGAGGAGAAUGACUGCUAGGUUGAGAACAUGAAAGUACAAUGCCUGCACAGGGAGAAAAGUGACUGCAGGUAACUACCACAGCUGUUUCGAAUAAUGCUUCUUUCCAUAUGGCAGAUUUGAUUAAUCCAUGCUUCGGGAAUUGACCAGCCAUAACUUAAGUUGGACAUGCCAUUUACUACUUUGCACUGGACGUGUUCUAAGGGUCCAUAGACUUGCAGGGAUGAAGACAUCCAGAAGCUUAAUGAAGAGUGAAGCACGACCGUAGUAUCACCAGGUA